rnacentral:rRNA from 1 species
CCGGAGACGGUGCUUGUGCGGGUGGUGUUGCGACACGCGUAUCCGAAAGACUCUCGGCAACGGAUAUCUCGGCUCUUGCAUCGAUGAAGAACGUAGCGAAAUGCGAUACUUGGUGUGAAUUGCAGAAUCCCGUGAACCAUCGAGUCUUUGAACGCAAGUUGCGCCCGAAGCCAUUAGGCUGAGGGCACGCCUGCCUGGGUGUCGCCCAUCGUUGCCCCAGUGCCUUGGCCUCGUGCCAGGCACCGAGCUGGGGCGAAUGUUGGCUUCCCGCGAGCAAGGCCUCGCGGUUGGUUGGAAACUGAGUCCGUGGUGGAGGGCGUCGUGACGGAUGGUGGUUGAG